UUUGACAUCCAGCGAACUUGGGCAGAGAUGGCCUUGGUGCCUUCGGGAACGCUGAGACAGGUGCUGCAUGGCUGUCGUCAGCUCGUGUUGUGAAAUGUUGGGUUAAGUCCGCAACGAGCGCAACCCUUAUCCUUUGUUGCCAGCGAUUCGGUCGGGAACUCAAAGGAGACUGCCGGUGAUAAACCGGAGGAAGGUGGGGAUGACGUCAAGUCAUCAUGGCCCUUACGAGUAGGGCUACACACGUGCUACAAUGGCGCAUACAAAAAGAAGCGACCUCGCGAGAGCAAGCGGACCUCAUAAAGUGCGUCGUAGUCCGGAUCGGAGUCUGCAACUCGACUCCGUGAAGUCGGAAUCGCUAGUAAUCGUGGAUCAGAAUGCCACGGUGAAUACGUUCCCGGGCCUUGUACACACCGCCCGUCACACCAUGGGAGUGGGUUGCAAAAGAAGUAGGUAGCUUAACCUUCGGGAGGGCGCUUACCACUUUGUGAUUCAUGACUGGGGUGAAGUCGUAACAAGGUAGGCGUAGCGAG
rnacentral:rRNA from 1 species